rnacentral:rRNA from 1 species
UACGGAGGGAGCUAGCGUUGUUCGGAAUUCCUGGGCGUAAAGCGCGCGUAGGCGGCUUUGUAAGUUAGAGGUGAAAGCCCGGGGCUCAACCCCGGAACUGCCUUUAAGACUGCAUCGCUUGAAUCCGGGAGAGGUGAGUGGAAUUCCGAGUGUAGAGGUGAAAUUCGUAGAUAUUCGGAAGAACACCAGUGGCGAAGGCGGCUCACUGGACCGGCAUUGACGCUGAUGUGCGAAAGCGUGGGGAGCAAACAGG